rnacentral:rRNA from 1 species
AAUAUUGGACAAUGGGGGCAACCCUGAUCCAGCCAUGCCGCGUGUGUGAUGAAGGUCUUCGGAUCGUAAAGCUCUGUCCUUGGGGAAGAAGGGAGCCGUAAGGCUUCUUGACGGUACCCAUGGAGGAAGCCCCGGCUAACUACGUGCCAGCAGCCGCGGUAAUACGUAGGGGGCAAGCGUUGUCCGGAAUUAUUGGGCGUAAAGGGUGCGUAGGCGGCCCUUUAAGUCAGAUGUGAAAGCCCACGGCUUAACCGUGGGACUGCAUUUGAAACUGGAGGGCUUGAGUGUCGGAGAGGGCAGUGGAAUUCCCAGUGUAGCGGUGGAAUGCGUAGAUAUUGGGAGGAACACCAGUGGCGAAGGCGACUGCCUGGACGAUAACUGACGCUGAGGCACGAAAGCUAGGGGAGCAAACA